UUGUUGGUAAGGUAAAAGCUUACCAAGGCUUCGAUCAGUAGCUGGUCUGAGAGGACGACCAGCCACACUGGGACUGAGACACGGCCCAGACUCCUACGGGAGGCAGCAGUGGGGAAUUUUGGACAAUGGGGGCAACCCUGAUCCAGCCAUGCCGCGUGAGUGAAGAAGGCCUUCGGGUUGUAAAGCUCUUUCAGCCGGAACGAAACGGUCACGGUUAACACCCGUGACUACUGACGGUACCGGAAGAAGAAGCACCGGCUAACUACGUGCCAGCAGCCGCGGUAAUACGUAGGGUGCGAGCGUUAAUCGAAAUUACUGGGCGUAAAGCGUGCGCAGGUGGUUUUGUAAGUCAGAUGUGAAAGCCCCGGGCUCAACCUGGGAACUGCGUUUGAAACUACAAGACUAGAGUGUGGCAGAGGGGGGUGGAAUUCCGCGUGUAGCAGUGAAAUGCGUAGAGAUGUGGAGGAACACCGAUGGCGAAGGCAGCCCCCUGGGUCAACACUGACGCUCAGGCACGAAAGCAUGGGGAGCAAACAGGAUUAGAUACCCUGGUAGUCCAUGCCCUAAACGAUGUCAACUAGUUGUCGGGCCUUUACGGGCUUGGUAACGUAGCUAACGCGUGAAGUUGACCGCCUGGGGAGUACGAUCGCAAGAUUAAAACUCAAAUGAAUUGACGGGGACCCGCACAAGCGGUGGAUUAUGUGGAUUAAUUCGAUGCAACGCGAAAAACCUUACCUACCCUUGACAUGUAUCGAAGCCCGCAGAAAAGCGGGGGUGCCCGAAAGGGAACGAUAACACAGGUGCUGCAUGGCUGUCGUCAGCUCGUGUCGUGAGAUGUUGGGUUAAGUCCCGCAACGAGCGCAACCCUUGUCAUUAAUUGCCAUCAUUUAGUUGGGCACUUUAAUGAGACUGCCGG
rnacentral:rRNA from 1 species